GGUGGCUCAGUGGUAGAGUGCUUGUCUUGCAUGCAUGAGGCUCUAAGUUCAAUUCCUCAGCACCA
rfam:Dipodomys ordii contig_20345, whole genome shotgun sequence.